rnacentral:rRNA from 1 species
AGUGAACGCUGGCGGUAGGCCUAACACAUGCAAGUCGAACGGCAGCACAGUAAGAGCUUGCUCUUACGGGUGGCGAGUGGCGGACGGGUGAGGAAUACAUCGGAAUCUACUUUUUCGUGGGGGAUAACGUAGGGAAACUUACGCUAAUACCGCAUACGACCUACGGGUGAAAGCAGGGGAUCUUCGGACCUUGCGCGAUUGUAUGAGCCGAUGUCGGAUUAGCUAGUUGGCGGGGUAAAGGCCCACCAAGGCGACGAUCCGUAGCUGGUCUGAGAGGAUGAUCAGCCACACUGGAACUGAGACACGGUCCAGACUCCUACGGGAGGCAGCAGUGGGGAAUAUUGGACAAUGGGCGCAAGCCUGAUCCAGCCAUACCGCGUGGGUGAAGAAGGCCCUCGGGUUGUAAAGCCCUUUUGUUGGGAAAGAAAAGCAGCAGGUUAAUACCCCGCUGUUCUGACGGUACCCAAAGAAUAAGCACCGGCUAACUUCGUG